CAAAGGUCGUCAUUUUAAAUCACACGACCACCCGUCUCGCUUCGGCCGAUUGAAGCUUGCUCCUUUUCCGACUCCGAUCGCCUUCUAAAGAAAUGCUCUCUGUCUCUCUCUCUCUCACACACACAUCCGUUCGAUCGCUGCUUCUCUUGGCCUCGGUUUGACCGUAAUCAAAUCGGGUCGCGGGGGUUCAACGAAAACGCUACAGAUAUUGCGGCCUUUCGGGCUCUGAUCGACCUUCCUGUGCGCCCGAAUAAGAAUGGCUUCAAUGGCAUGCCAUCAUGCCCUCAGUUCCAUCCAAACUCAGGGAUUGCAAAAUAAAGUUGGAAGCUUUUCAGGGAAAAUAGUUUCCAAGGGCUCUAUGAUAGACAUGGGACUUCUUUCAAGAGCAAUCUGCUACUCUGUGAGAAGGAAUUUGUUUACGGUUCAUGCAUCAAGCUCUUCUCCAGUUGCCAAUCCAAUUCAAAUACCAUCAAAUGGCGAAUCUAAAGAUUUUAGGAAAAAAUCAGAUGAAACUGCACUUAUACUGAUAAGACAUGGUGAGUCUUUAUGGAAUGAGAAAAAUCUUUUCACAGGAUGUGUUGAUGUACCUUUGACUCAAAAGGGUGUGGAGGAAGCAAUUGAAGCCGGCAAAAGAAUAAGCAAUAUACCUAUUGACAUGAUCUAUACAUCUUCACUGAUUCGUGCUCAGAUGACUGCUAUGCUUGCAAUGACCCAACAUCGCCGCAAGAAGGUUCCAAUCAUCAAGCACAAUGAGAGUGAACAGGCCUGGAAAUGGAGUCAGAUACACAGUGAAGAAACAAAGAAACAAUCCAUUCCUGUGAUAACAUCUUGGCAACUGAAUGAAAGAAUGUAUGGUGAACUACAAGGCCUCAAUAAGCAAGAAACAGCUGACCGUUUUGGAAAAGAAAAAGUUCAAGAAUGGCGUCGUAGUUAUGAUAUUCCUCCCCCAGAUGGUGAGAGUUUGGAGAUGUGUGCUGAUAGAGCUGUGGCUUAUUUCAAAGAGCAAAUUGUACCUCAACUCUUGACUGGGAAAAAUGUGAUGAUUGCUGCUCAUGGAAACUCGCUUAGGUCCAUUAUUAUGUACCUGGACAAGUUGACUUCUCAGGAGGUCAUCAGCCUUGAACUGUCAACUGGCAUUCCUAUGCUUUAUAUAUUCAAGGAUGGAAAGUUUUUUAGGAGAGGAAGCCCAACCGGUCCUUCUGAGGCUGGUGUUUAUGCUUAUACCAGAGUAACUGCUAUCGAUAUUUCUUGGAGAAGCACAUGACCAUCCAUCAGAAUUGUUUGCCUUGAUAUGGCUUCUUUGCUAUUAUUCUGGUCAGGUGAAAGUAAUCCUGGUUCUUAUACAUCAACAUCAGCGGUCAAAAUCCUUGCGACGCCUAGUGGUACUGCAUUGGCAAUUCCAGUCUUCAGGCCAAGGGCAGAAAAGGGCUACAGGAUACUGUUCCACAGUUCUCCUCAAGUUCAAGUCCUUGGCCCUGGGGGAGAAAAAUGGAUCCCUGGUGUGGAGUCACUGAUAAUGCCGCUCAGGUUACCAGAUUGCAAUGUAAACCAUGAAGCACAACCCAGCUGGAACUGCAACAGCAUUUGGCUCCAUGACAAAGAUAUAUUCCUGCAGUAUGUUGAUGGGACCACAAAAAUUUUAUGGUCUUGAGAAGCGAUAAGGAUGCUGUUAUAAGACUCCAAUGGAGCACAGAUGGGACUCUGGGAUACCUGGUAUGUAGAAACUGGGAAGCAAGUGACAAAGUGUGGAACAUUCAUCCUUUGUGAAUUCAUGCUGCCCUUCACAAGGGGCCUACCUCUUAUUGUGGGUUGCUCUACUGAUGGAACAGCCUAAUUCUGGGACUUAUAUAUUUAAGUGGUGCAAUCCAGACAUUUCUGGACAAGUAGUAGAUCGCAUCUGUAAGUUCGUCUGGUAGAUCACAUUUGUAAGUUCCACUGUGAUAGCAGAAAACAAUUUUACUGGAGGAUUGGACAAGGAUAACAAAGUAUGCGAUUUAGCAGGAAUGAUGUAACAAUGACACUCCAAUGUCAUGGAACAAUGUCACUCCAGUGUCAUGGGAACAUGAUCUGAUACACAGCUGAUUCCUGGUGGAUCUUAUCUUUUGACUAAUGGCAUGGAUUGCAUGCUUUGGGUCCGGAAAAGGCACCUCUUUAGACUUGUUCCCUAAUUUGCAUGCUUCAAUUCUGGGACAUGUGCGCCCAUAUGCUCCCAAUAUCAGAUGAAAAGAUGCCGAAGCCAUGGCAUUUUGUGCAAGCUCCUGGACACAAUGGCUCUGUAAAUAAGACUGUUCUAUCCAACUGAGCCCGUCAUAAGUACUUGCAGUAGAGACAAGCAAAUAAAUUCUGGGGAGAUUUGAAGCAUUGGGCACCCCACUCAGCUUGCUUGGAGCUUUGAAAGCUGAGAUGGACAAUGGUUGCUUUGGUCGUACUUGAAAGAUAUUACUAAAUGGUAUUUACGGCUUUCUUCAUAUACGGGUUUUUGGUAUCUAUGUUCUAGUGCUUAUUUUGAGCUGCCAACUUUCAUGUCUCCGUAAGCUUGUAGUCUGCUGAAGGAUUGGCCUGAUACUGUCACCUUUUACUUUAAAUUUGCAAUGUUGUCGCUGUUGAUUUUUAAAAGAACAGGUUAAAGACUUGGUCAACCUAAACAGCAAGCCAAGAGGCCCACAAGAACUCAUCCCAUCCAUAACAGCGUGGAAAAUGCAUAGCUUGAGCAAGAUGGGGAAAAUUGCUGUAGAAAAUUAGAGAACCUGUUCUGCAAACAUGAGUUUGAAGUCCAAUGAACAUUUCCUGAUCUAAUGAAGGGCAGACAAAAUUGUGGCUUUGUUCCCAUGGACCAUCAUCAGCUCUGGUAUAUUCUGAGAAACACCAUAUGUGAAAGUCAACAGAUGAAACAAUCAAGUCAAAAAGAAAUUCCCAUUCAUAGUACCAGAGAGUGCUUUGUGAGACCAGGUCCCUGGGUCAUUAAAGCUGAUUGGAAACAUCAGCCUGCUAUUUCCAAAGGCAGUAGGUAUCCAGACUGAUUACAUCGAACACUUUUCUUCUUCAUGUUUAAAUGCAGGUCAAGCAUCCAGGUGAGUGAGCUGGGAAGUCGACAGUCAUGGGUUUCAAAUAUAUAUAUAUAUUUGGUGAUGGAACACUGACUCGUUGCUGGAAGCCUUAUCCUGACCACUCUGCUGCUCUUUUAAUGUGGCCUUUUUCUUCUGCACACAACAUCUUUUGAUCUGACCAGAGUCUCUUCUUUAUUAUCCACCGAUGAAUGCAGCACAGGGGAAGCGGACAAAUGGUGGGCCAGCCUCUUGCUUUCUGAUCGCUCGAGAGACGAUGGAGACCUUCCAUGAAGAGUAAACUUCCUUAGGAAGUGGCAGAGCACCAAACGCUGCUGCAAAGGAUGUGAUCACUAACAGCAUCUUUUAACGGGGUAGUGCUAUAUAAUAAGUUGGCAAAAUCAUGCAAGCCUACCGUGAUGGUUGGCUGCGAUAUUUUUGUCAUUUUUAUCUUGAUGCGUGUAUGCCAUCAUAACAUUGUUACCUGAAAUAAUUAUGAUGAGCACUGAAAGAUAUCGUAUUAAAGUGGUGUUAUUUGAUGCA